GGUCACAAACCAAAUUGGACAAGAGCCAAAUCAAAUCCAAUGGUUAGGUUCAGUGUUCUCCUUACAGGGAAAUUUGAUCUGGUGCUGUGUGUCCUCUGGCCUCUGCAGGACCCGUCUGCGCAGAGCUUGGAGAUUUGUCUCUAAGCAGAGUCCGGGGUGGUGGCCCGUCCUGUCCGGCUCACCCAGGAGAAAGUGACGGGUGCCAUGGAGCAGGGGUUACGGCCAGGUCCUCAGCCGGCGUGCGGAGCCCUACCUCAGCAGGCAGGCGUGGGUGUGGGCCUGGCUCCAGUGCUGCCCUCUGCUGGUCCUGGGGAGCGGGACUGUGGCUGUGCACAGAGUGCACUGAGAGGGUUCCUGAGCGUCAGCGCCCCUGCCGCGGCCCAGGACUCCUGGGCUCCUCGCUUACCAUGUGCCGAGCCAGAUGCUGGAGGCGUGGGGAGGGGAGGCUGCCGCAGGGCUGGGCCUGAUGACCACCCACACAUCUGACGCCCCCUGGGCCCCAAGUCCCCUGUACACCCCAGGGACCAUCUCUCCCUCUCUCAACUCCCUCUGUCUCGCUCUGGGUCCGUGUCCCCUGGCUUCACGGAUGUCUCCUUGCCCCUCCCGUAUGCUUGGGAAAAAGGCCUUCAAGCUCUGCACGGCGGGCCAGAGAAGCGGGACCCUUCCUCCACCCUGUCACCGGAUUUGUUCUCCCACUCUCUCCUGUCCUGGGCAGAGCUCACCUCUACUCUGCUGAGAACGAGGCCUCCGGGCGGGCUCACUUGCCUCAGUUCCGCUCUUUUGGCUGGAGCCCCCUGCCCUGAGCCUACCUUUCUCCGGGACCUUCUGGCUGGGCGGCGCCCCAGCUCUGGGGCUCUGGAUGCUGCCGGCCACGGGGGUGCAUUGCUGAGGAUGGAGGGAGAUGGGCACUUCCCUUCCCCUUGGGGCAGUGAACGUGCAGGAGUCACCCCUCUGCUCUUGACCCAGAGACCCCACCAGCCCAUUUAUCACCUACUCAAGCCCAGGUGAGGCAGUGGGCAGUGCUCCCAGGAGACACGGACAUGGCUCAUAAACCCCUCUACAGUGAUGCUAACAAACUGAAUUAGUCUCCAUACAGGAAGUUUCAGCUUUCUGUCACUGAGACAACAUACUGGAAUAAUCAACUUCAAAGGAGGAAAGUUUUAUUUUGAUGCAUUUUCAGAGGGCUCAGUUUGCGGUCAGCCCCUUUGUGUUUGGGUCUGUAGCAAGGCAGAACAUCAGGUGACAGAGGAGUCUGCUCACCACAGCAGCUGGAAAAGAGAGAGGAGUAAGGGCUGAGGGUUCUGGGAUCCCUACUGUAGCCUGUUCCUAAUGACGAACUUCUUCCUCAAGCCCACCUCUCCUGCAGGUUUGUCUAUACUACAGCCUGUGG
rnacentral:lncRNA from 1 species